rnacentral:rRNA from 1 species
CCCUUAGAUGUUCUGGGCCGCACGCGCGCUACACUGAUGCAUUCAACGAGUUUCUUCCUGGUCCGAGAGGAAUGGGUAACCUUUUGAAAGUGCAUCGUGAUAGGGAUAGACUAUUGCAAUUAUUGGUCUUCAACGAGGAAUUCCUAGUAGACGUAGUUCAUCAGACUGCAUCGAUUACGUCCCUGCCCUUUGUACACACCGCCCGUCGCUCCUACCGAUUGAGCGAUCCGGUGAAUGUUUUGGACUGGUGUCCGCAAGCGUUUCGCUUCGGACGCUACGAAAUUUUGUAAACCUUAUCGCUUAGAGGAAGGAAAAGUCGUAACA